UUUCCGUAGGUGAACCUGCGGAAGGAUCAUUACAGAGUUCAUGCCCUCACGGGUAGAUCUCCCACCCUUGAAUAUUUACACCUUAGUUGCUUUGGCAGGCCGUGGAAACACCAUGGGCUCCGGCUUAUGCGUGCCUGCCAGAGGAAACAAACUCUGUUUUUAGUGAUGUCUGAGUACUAUAUAAUAGUUAAAACUUUCAACAACGGAUCUCUUGGUUCUG
rnacentral:misc_RNA from 1 species